rnacentral:lncRNA from 1 species
CUGAGGCCUAAAGAUGGAAAUGUCCCUACCCAAAGUCUAGAAGCUGUUUCAAACCAUUAUUUUAGAGCUCCUUGCUAAGGUUCUUUCCCUUCCCACAGAAGCAUAAAGUGUACUUAGAGUUUGAAGGGACCUUAAAUGUCUUCUCUGACUUUAAUAUUGUUUAUAGAUGGAAAACUAAGACCCAGAUUCUUGCCCAAGGCAACACAGUAAAGUCAGCACUUGAACCCAAGCCUUCAGACUCCCAAUCUGGACUUUAUUCCCCUACACCACACUGCUUUCUCUCUCUCUGGUCUGGGCUGAGCAGGCACCUUCUUUUCUGGGAUGUGGGGCAGAGUCCUGGGCCCCAAAGACCCGGACUUCAUUUUCUGACUCUAGGAGGCUGAUGACGUUGCCCUUCCCCAGAGGAGCACAAAGGGCCCAUUCAUUGGACAGGUCACAGUGUGUUCUGGAAAAGAAAAGAAAGUUUUCAGCCCUUCCCCCAACUCCUUCAGCCCCAUCCCCCCUAUUCUGAGCCAGGAGCCUGGAGCUGUGACCGUCCCACAGAUAGAGGGGCUGCUGACAUGACACAAUCCACAGGUGUUUACUUUUCCUGGUGUGGGGGAGAUGACAGGAAGGUCACCAGAGCAGAGCCACCAGCAAUUCAGGCUCAGCCCGAGGCUGGGGAAUGAAGUCCGGUAUGGAGGAGGGGCCUCCCUGCUUUGUCUAAUCUACGCAGAAUAAGUGGAAAGAAUCCAGACUUGGAGCUGAGAGACCUGGCUUGGAAUCUCCUUUCUGCUGUUUAUUCUUACCUGUGUGACAGUGGGCAAAUCAUUUCAGCUCUCUAGGACCCAGAUCUCUUAUCUUUAAAUGAGAGGACUGUGCUUUCUUGCUCUAAAGCAAGCCUGGGAUUGAAUGCGUCCCUUUCUUGUGGGGUCUCCUGUCCAGUCCCAAAUCUCUCAGCCUCCACGUUUUCCUACACGUCCUUCCUCUGUGGGAUCACUUCCCCUUCUCCCUCGUCACGGAAACAUCACAGCUUUGCUGAGCAUCGAGGUCUCCCACCCUCAGACAGCCAGGAUCCUGGGACCCCAGGCACUAGCCAGCCAAGAUGUGGAACAGACGAAGGGAUUCUGA